rnacentral:lncRNA from 1 species
UGCUGUUGUUGCUAUCUUGAUUAUGAUGCAUGUUUGGUGUGCAGCAUUCAUGAAAGGCCGAUGCCUAGUGAUGAACGAACUGAGUUCCAAUGAUGUUGUUGACUCCGGGCUUGUUGAGAGGAUGGUUCCUUGUGGGGAACUCGGAUUCUAUGGUGAUGAAUCUGGGAGUGGUGAUCCUGUAGUUGGUACAAAAUGGGUAUACCGAGUCGUGUUGAGUCAUGCAUGGGUGUGUGCAUUGCAUUU